CUCGAAUGAACUCAAAGGAAAGCAGCAACCAUUUCCUUCUUCCUUCUAUUUGCAUAAACCCAAAAAUCAGCAACAUCACACUCCAUUAAACAUAUCAGAAUCUCAAGAACCCUUAUCUUCGCCUUUUCUCUCGUCAUUCCCUCUGAAAAUGACAGAAUCACACUGAAAUUAUUCAAGCUAAUAGUUGCUCUUCCCCUCUCUUGGUUCCUGAGAUGGUGCGCCCAAGAACCGCCAUUAUUUCUCGGUUGUUACCCUCAAAAACAGUCGGCAACAUCCCCAUUUUCAGCCGAUUUUGGUGCCUUUUUUCAGAGAAAAACCGCAGCAAAUCAAUCCAUCUCUUCUCCACAAAUUCGGUUUAGAAAAGGCAACAUUUUGAUAUUGAAGACAGCGGAUUCGUAGACAGAGAUUAUUAAGAGCGUACGUUGUCUAGGAUCGCGUGACAAGUAGGCGACAUUAUCGAGGAUCCCUUUUAGUGAUCGUGGAGUACCAGACUUAACUUCUUGAAGCGUUCUUUUUGUUUGAUUACAGAUCGGAACUGAUCGGAAACGAUGGGUUAACGGUGUUGAAUAGCGUUCCAAGGAUGUAUAUUGAGCUGAGCACGUGGGAAUUUGUAGUUUUGUAUUAGGUUUUUGGAUAAAUGUAUAUUUAAUUUGGUUGUGUUGGUUAUAUCAAACUUGUAGAGGAUUGUAUGAUCAUUAUGUGUUUUAGUUAGAUGUUUGUUUUGAGAUGUAGCUGAGUUAAAUACGUUGAAAAGCUGGUGUCCCCUUUGCUCAAGUUUUGAAAGUGUGAUUUCAGUUUCUUGGGAAAUGAACCCAGUGAUAACCGUGUUUACUCAGUCAACGGUAAGUCGGGUUGUUACAGGAGCGGUCAGUUUUACCCCCAAACAGUAGGAGCCCUGCAAAAAGAGGAUAUGAGUUGCAACGUUGUCUCAAGAGUGCAACUAUUAGCAGAAAAAGACAGCACAAGCAGAAGCUAGAUCUAAUCAAAAAAAAAAAACAAAAUGAGAAAAAAAAUAAAAAUAAAGUAAAACCACAAUAAUUAUACAAAGAAACAAAACACGUGUAAGAAGCAACUAGACCUUAGGGGAGGGAGGUAACUAGAGAAACUACUAGUAGUCUAAAAUAUGGAUCUGACGUCUCCAACUAUUUCUAUCCCUAGUCAGAUCCGUGGAGAGGCGCAACUCAUGUUCAACUUCUUUAAAUGAUUAAGACUAACUCAAGUGAGUCAAAGUUGAAGAGAAUUGCAUUAGGAAUCAACAACAUUGUAGUUAUGUGCUAUAGUUAUGUGUUAAGUCCUCCCCUUAGCUUGCGGGAAAUUAG